rnacentral:lncRNA from 1 species
GUACAUGGAAUACUUGGUGAAAAUGAAUAGGUAAGGAUUGGGUCGAAACGUGGAUCCUAUAGUGCUAAAGAAAAGAGAUGGACACGAUGGGUGUUUGGUGACAUAGAAAAUGGCAUCUAAGUGUUUAAAGAACAUAUUGAGUGGCAUUAAAGUAGUGUACUUGACACUAGAGGUUUGAAAACCUAGGGAUAGGUGGAUCCCUUAGAAAAUGCCUUGUAGACAAAAAACUUAGUAAAGCUAAG